GAUGAACGCUAGCUACAGGCUUAACACAUGCAAGUCGAGGGGCAGCAUGAACUUAGCUUGCUAAGUUUGAUGGCGACCGGCGCACGGGUGAGUAACACGUAUCCAACCUGCCGAUGACUCGGGGAUAGCCUUUCGAAAGAAAGAUUAAUACCCGAUGGCAUAGUUCUUCCGCAUGGUAGAACUAUUAAGGAAUUUCGGUCAUCGAUGGGGAUGCGUUCCAUUAGGUUGUUGGCGGGGUAACGGCCCACCAAGCCUUCGAUGGAUAGGGGUUCUGAGAGGAAGGUACCACACAUUGGAACUGAGACACGGUCCAAACGCCUACGGGAGGCAGCAGUGAGGAAUAUUGGUCAAUGGACGAGAGUCUGAACCAGCCAAGUAGCGUGAAGGAGGACUGCCCUAUGGGUUGUAAACUUCUUUUAUACGGGAAUAAAGUGAGGCACGUGUGCCUUUUUGUAUGUACCGUAUGAAUAAGGAUCGGCUAACUCCGUG
rnacentral:rRNA from 1 species